rnacentral:rRNA from 1 species
UCCUACGGGGGGCAGCAGUGAGGAAUAUUGGUCAAUGGGCGGAAGCCUGAACCAGCCAAGUCGCGUGAGGGAAGAAGGCCCUGCGGGUCGCAGACCUCUUUGGACGGGGAGCAAGGCCGCCGACGUGUCGGCGGAAGGAGAGUACCCGUAGAACAAGCAUCGGCUAACUCCGUGCCAGCAGCCGCGGUAAUACGGAGGAUGCGAGCGUUAUCCGGAUUUAUUGGGUUUAAAGGGUGCGUAGGCGGCACGGCAAGCCGGCGGUCAAAUGGGGGGGCUGAA